rnacentral:rRNA from 1 species
CCUACGGGAGGCAGCAGUGAGGAAUAUUGGUCAAUGGCCGCAGGGCUGAACCAGCCAAGUCGCGUGAGGGAUGACGGUCCUAUGGAUUGUAAACCUCUUUUGUCAGGGAGCAAAGGGCGCCACGUGUGGCGCUUUGCGAGUACCUGAAGAAAAAGCAUCGGCUAACUCCGUGCCAGCAGCCGCGGUAAUACGGAGGAUGCGAGCGUUAUCCGGAUUUAUUGGGUUUAAAGGGUGCGCAGGCGGAAUGUGAAGUCAGCGGUAAAAUUUCGGGGCUCAACCCCGUCGUGCCGUUGAAACUGGCGUUCUUGAGUGAGCGAGAGGUAUGCGGAAUGCGUGGUGUAGCGGUGAAAUGCAUAGAUAUCACGCAGAACUCCGAUUGCGAAGGCAGCAUACCGGCGCUCAACUGACGCUCAUGCACGAAAGCGUGGGUAUCGAACAGGAUUAGAUACCCUGGUAGUC